AGCAGUCGCCACGGGAAUACAGAGGGUGCGAGCGUUAAUCGGAUUUACUGGGCGUAAAGCGUGCGUAGGCGGCUUCUUAAGUCGGAUGUGAAAUCCCUGAGCUUAACUUAGGAAUUGCAUUCGAUACUGGGAAGCUAGAGUAUGGGAGAGGAUGGUAGAAUUCCAGGUGUAGCGGUGAAAUGCGUAGAGAUCUGGAGGAAUACCGAUGGCGAAGGCAGCCAUCUGGCCUAAUACUGACGCUGAGGUACGAAAGCAUGGGGAGCAAACAGGAUUAGAUACCCGCGUAGUCCCUGUCUCUUAUAC
rnacentral:rRNA from 1 species